AUUGAACGCUGGCGGCAUGCCUUACACAUGCAAGUCGAACGUGAAAGCGGGGCAACCCGCAAGUAGAGUGGCGGACGGGUGAGUAAUACAUCGGAACGUGUCCAGUAAUGGGGGAUAACCUAGCGAAAGUUAGGCGAAUACCGCAUACGAUCUGCGGAUGAAAGCGGGGAUGCGGCACUAAAGGCUUUUGGCGAAGGUGGCCAAAGGUGAGUCAAGAGCUUUUUAGUGCUGCACCUCGCGUUAUUGGAGCGGCUGAUGUCUGAUUAGCUAGUUGGUGAGGUAAAGGCUUACCAAGGCGACGAUCAGUAGCUGGGUCUGAGAGGACGGCCAGCCACACUGGGACUGA
rnacentral:rRNA from 1 species